rnacentral:rRNA from 1 species
UACGUAGGGUGCAAGCGUUAAUCGGAAUUACUGGGCGUAAAGCGUGCGCAGGCGGUUCUAUAAGACAGAUGUGAAAUCCCCGGGCUCAACCUGGGAACUGCAUUUGUGACUGUAGAGCUGGAGUGCGGCAGAGGGGGAUGGAAUUCCGCGUGUAGCAGUGAAAUGCGUAGAGAUGUGGAGGAACACCGAUGGCGAAGGCAGCCUUCUGGGCCAAUACUGACGCUCAUGCACGAAAGCGUGGGGAGCAAACAGG